rnacentral:rRNA from 1 species
AUUGAACGCUGGCGGCAGGCCUAACACAUGCAAGUCGAGCGAGCGGCGCACGGGUGAGUGAUGUAUGUGGACUGCCCGUGAGAGGGGGGUAACUCCUGGAAACGGUAGCUCAUACCGCAUACUAUCGGCUAACCCCUAUGGGAUUAGCUCGUAGGUGAGGUAAUGGCUCACCUAGGCGACGAUCCCUAGCUGGUCUGAGAGGAUGAUCAGCCACACUGGGACUGAGACACGGCCCAGACUCCUACGGAGGCAGCAGUGGGGAAUAUUGCACAAUGGGCGCAAGCCUGAUGCAGCCAUGCCGCGUGUAUGAAGAAGGCCUUAGGGUUGUAAAGUACUUUCAGUCGGGAGGCGUUACCGACAGAAGAAGCACCGGCUAACUCCGUGCCAGCAGCCGCGGUAAUAC